rnacentral:rRNA from 1 species
AACGAACGCUGGCGGCAUGCCUAACACAUGCAAGUCGAACGAGACCUUCGGGUCUAGUGGCGCACGGGUGCGUAACGCGUGGGAACCUGCCCUUAGGUUCGGAAUAACUCUCCGAAAGGGGUGCUAAUACCGGAUAAUGUCUUCGGACCAAAGAUUUAUCGCCUUUGGAUGGGCCCGCGUUGGAUUAGCUAGUUGGUAGGGUAAAAGCCUACCAAGGCGACGAUCCAUAACUGGUCUGAGAGGAUGAUCAGCCACACUGGGACUGAGACACGGCCCAGACUCCUACGGGAGGCAGCAGUGGGGAAUAUUGGACAAUGGGCGAAAGCCUGAUCCAGCAAUGCCGCGUGAGUGAUGAAGGCCUUAGGGUUGUAAAGCUCUUUUACCCGGGAUGAUAAUGACAGUACCGGGAGAAUAAGCUCCGGCUAACUCCGUG